GAUGAACGCUGGCGGCGUGCCUAAUACAUGCAAGUCGAGCGAACAGACGAGGAGCUUGCUCCUCUGACGUUAGCGGCGGACGGGUGAGUAACACGUGGAUAACCUACCUAUAAGACUGGGAUAACUUCGGGAAACCGGAGCUAAUACCGGAUAAUAUAUUGAACCGCAUGGUUCAAUAGUGAAAGACGGUUUUGCUGUCACUUAUAGAUGGAUCCGCGCCGCAUUAGCUAGUUGGUAAGGUAACGGCUUACCAAGGCAACGAUGCGUAGCCGACCUGAGAGGGUGAUCGGCCACACUGGAACUGAGACACGGUCCAGACUCCUACGGGAGGCAGCAGUAGGGAAUCUUCCGCAAUGGGCGAAAGCUUGACGGAGCAACGCCGCGUGAGUGAUGAAGGUCUUCGGACCGUAAAACUCUGUUAUUGGGGAAGAACAAAUGUGUAAGUAACUAUGCACGUCUUGACGGUACCUAAUCAGAAAGCCACGGCUAACUACGCG
rnacentral:rRNA from 1 species